GCUUGGGAAUCUGGCUUAUGGAGGGGGAUAACUACGGGAAACUGUAGCUAAUACCGCGUAGUAUCGAGAGAUGAAAGUGCGGGACCGCAAGGCCGCAUGCCAUGAGAUGAGCCCAAGUGGGAUUAGGUAGUUGGUGGGGUAAAGGCCUACCAAGCCUGCGAUCUCUAGCUGGUCUGAGAGGAUGGCCAGCCACACUGGAACUGAGACACGGUCCAG
rnacentral:rRNA from 1 species